rnacentral:rRNA from 1 species
UACGAAGGGUGCAAGCGUUGUUCGGAUUUAUUGGGCGUAAAGCGCGCGCAGGCGGAAUUGUGUGUCAGAUGUGAAAUCUCGGAGCUUAACUCCGAACGUGCGUCUGAAACUGCAAUUCUAGAAUGCCGGAGGGGGAAGGGGAAUUUCACGUGUAGGGGUAAAAUCCGUAGAGAUGUGAAGGAACACCGGAGGCGAAGGCGCCUUCCUGGCCGGUAAUUGACGCUGAGGCGCGAAAGCGUGGGGAUCAAACAGG